rnacentral:rRNA from 1 species
UUACUGUAGCUUGACAUUGGGUCUUGGUACUACAUGUACAGGAUAGGUGGGAGGCUUUGAAACCAGGACGCCAGUUUUGGCGGAGCCAUCCUUGGGAUACCACCCUUGUAGUACUGGGACUCUAACCAUAGGCCAUGAAUCUGGUCUUGGGACACUGUCAGGUGGGCAGUUUGACUGGGGCGGUCGCCUCCCAAAAGGUAACGGAGGCGCUCAAAGGUUCUCUCAGUACGGUCGGAAAUCGUACGUAGAGU